GACGAACGCUGGCGGCGUGCUUAACACAUGCAAGUCGAACGGAAAGGCCCUGCUUUUGUGGGGUGCUCGAGUGGCGAACGGGUGAGUAACACGUGAGUAACCUGCCCUUGACUUUGGGAUAACUUCAGGAAACUGGGGCUAAUACCGGAUAGGAGCUCCUGCUGCAUGGUGGGGGUUGGAACGUUUCGGCGGUUGGGGAUGGACUCGCGGCUUAUCAGCUUGUUGGUGGGGUAGUGGCUUACCAAGGCUUUGGCGGGUAGCCGGCCUGUGAGGGUGACCGGCCACAUUGGGACUGAGAUACGGACCAGACUCCUACGGGGGGCAGCAGUGGGGAAUAUUGCACAAUGGGCGGAAGCCUGAUGCAGCAACGCCGCGUGCGGGAUGACGGCCUUCGGGUUGUAAACCGCUUUCGCCUGUGACGAAGCGUGAGUGACGGUAAUGGAUAAAGAAGCACCGGCUAACUACGUG
rnacentral:rRNA from 1 species